rnacentral:rRNA from 1 species
AAACGUAGGUGGCGAGCGUUGUCCGGAAUUACUGGGUGUAAAGGGAGCGCAGGUGGGCGCGCAAGUUGAAUGUGAAAUCUAUGGGCUCAACCCAUAAAUUGCGUUCAAAACUGCGUGUCUUGAGUGGAGUAGAGGCAAGCGGAAUUCCCGGUGUAGCGGUGGAAUGCGUAGAUAUCGGGAGGAACACCAGUGGCGAAGGCGGCUUGCUGGGCUCUAACUGACACUGAGGCUCGAAAGCGUGGGUAGCAAACAGGAUUAGAUACCCUGGUAGUCCACGCCGUAAACGAUGAUUACUAGGUGUGGGGGGACUGACCCCUUCCGUGCCGCAGCUAACGCAAUAAGUAAUCCACCUGGGGAGUACGGCCGCAAGGUUGAAACUCAAAGGAAUUGACGGGG